rnacentral:lncRNA from 1 species
UAAAGAGUAGGGCAAGGUGGUGGUAUUGUCUGUCUUGACAUUCUUGAAUUUUACUUCAACAAAGUUAGGUGCUCAUCUCAAUCCUUGUCAUAUUGCUUUCAGCAUAAUAUCCUUUGAAACUACCCAAGAGAAAUGCUAAUUAAGCUCCAAAAUGUGCGACACCACAUAUAAUUGCGUAGCGUGUUGGCACUUCUUUAUUCAGCGGGCCCUGAUGAUAAUAUUUAUGGGUACUGUAGUGCACCGCACGAUGCGAUAUAUUGCAUGUAUUAUCCAUCGUAUCAUGGAUGGUGUGUGAGACCGUAUGUGCUUGCGCGAUCACGUGCAGCCAUCUAUCAUGCGAUGGAUGACAUACAUGAUGCACCGCAUCAUAUGGUACAUCACAAUACUAUAGAA